rnacentral:misc_RNA from 1 species
AAUUCUCAAUCUCUAUAUCUUUGUGAUAUUAGCAGAUUGGAUAUGGGGGUACUUUGUGGGCCUUGAUUAGGUUCACUCCUCUGAAAUAUAUUAGCUGGAAUGCCUUUGCAAACCAACUAUCAGUGUGAUAAUUAUCAGUACUGGAGUUGAUGCAUGAGGGAAUCUGCUAUCUAAUUGUCUUCUGACAAUCUGAAUAA